GAUGAACGCUGGCGGCGUGCCUAAUACAUGCAAGUCGAGCGAACGGACGAGAAGCUUGCUUUUCUGAUGUUAGCGGCGGACGGGUGAGUAACACGUGGAUAACCUACCUAUAAGACUGGGAUAACUUCGGGAAACCGGAGCUAAUACCGGAUAAUAUUUUGAACCGCAUGGUUCAAAAGUGAAAGACGGUCUUGCUGUCACUUAUAGAUGGAUCCGCGCUGCAUUAGCUAGUUGGUAAGGUAACGGCUUACCAAGGCAACGAUGCAUAGCCGACCUGAGAGGGUGAUCGGCCACAUUGGAACUGAGACACGGUCCAGACUCCUACGGGAGGCAGCAGUAGGGAAUCUUCCGCAAUGGGCGAAAGCCUGACGGAGCAACGCCGCGUGAGUGAUGAAGGUCUUCGGAUCGUAAAACUCUGUUAUUAGGGAAGAACAUAUGUGUAAGUAACUGUGCACAUCUUGACGGUACCUAAUCAGAAAGCCACGGCUAACUACGUG
rnacentral:rRNA from 1 species